CACGUAGGGCGCAAGCGUUGUCCGGAAUUACUGGGCGUAAAGAGCUCGUAGGUGGUUUGUCGCGUUGUCCGUGAAAACUCACAACUCAAUUGUGGGCGUGCGGGCGAUACGGGCAGACUGGAGUACUGCAGGGGAGACUGGAAUUCCUGGUGUAGCGGUGGAAUGCGCAGAUAUCAGGAGGAACACCGGUGGCGAAGGCGGGUCUCUGGGCCGUUACUGACGCUGAGGAGCGAAAGCGUGGGGAGCGAACAGG
rnacentral:rRNA from 1 species